GGGAACUGGGUGCGAGGGGCCGGGGUAAUUAGUGGGGAGGAUGCGUUGUCCGGAGUGACUGGGUGUAAAGGGGGCUCAGGCGGAGUUGUAAGUCAGAGGUGAAAUCUCACGGCUUAACCGUGAAACUGCCUUUGAUACUGCAGAUCUUGAGUUUGGGAGAGGUUGAUGGAAGUCCAGGUGUAGCGGUGAAAUGCGUAGAUAUCUGGAAGAACACCAGUGGCGAAGGCGGUCAACUGGCCCAUAACUGACGCUCAGGCACGAAAGCGUGGGUAGCAAACAGGAUUAGAUACCCUUGUAGUC
rnacentral:rRNA from 1 species